rnacentral:lncRNA from 10 species
GUCAAAAUGCACAAAUCUGAAGGAGGCCUUUGUGCACAGAAGCUGUCCUGCCUGUAAAUGUCCCCAGUCACCAGAUUAGUGCCAAUUUAUUUUCCAGUGAAGACACCAGGGGUCUGGGGGUGGGGUGGAGUUUGCAGGAGGGAGCAAAAAGGAAAAGGCAUACUUAGCACCAACCACAUGAGAGCCCUGCUCUGAAGUAACGGCCAAAUGAGCGUCCACUGAGUGUCUGCUGAUGGGCGUGUGCUGAUGCCUCCGUUAGAUGGGCAGGGUAAAAAGGAGGACAAGAAUGAAUACUUGGGUAUAAUCUGCUCUUGCUGUUGGGUAGGUAUUAUCAGCCCCAUUAGACCUCAUUUCUGCAGGAGUAGAUCGAAUGAGUGUAUCUCUGACAGAAUUUCCAUGCUCCCAGCUGAAGCAGGUGUAGCUGGGUGGAGGAAGGCCAAAGAAACUCAAGAAGGUAAGGCAGUUCCUCUCUGAUGCCCUGCUCUCAGCAUUUGUAUUCUCUGGCAGCUCUUCAGAUGAGGAAGCUGAGACACAAUCACGGAAGAGCAAGAUUUAAAAGCCGGCAGUCUGACUCCUGAUCUCUCACUCAUCCACUACUGUAGACAGCCUUCUCUGUGUUUCAUUAGCACAUAACAAGAAUUCAUGCUCUCGGAGUACAAAGCAGGGUUUGUAAUAUCAAUAAAAGAGACACUUUCAUAGUGUUUUAGCUGAGUCUUGAGGAGAAAAGUAGAGUUUUAGUGAAGGAAGAAAGAAAGGCACUACAUGCUGAUUGUAUGUUUGAAGGCGCUGCUGUUAAGAGGUGAAGAUGCUGUUGUGGAAGAUGAAUCUGGGAUGGACUAAGGAUGGAACACUAACAUUUAAAGAAUGGAGGAAGAAAAGCAGUUGUGGAGAGUGAGAAAGACUAGAGAUAAAGCAGAAAAAAUCCUAGAGGGUUUAGUAUCAUGACCAGGAACUAGGCAUUUCAAAAAGGAAGAAACGAUCAACAGUGAUGAAUGAGAAGAGCUGGAAGGAAUGUAGAUGGAGAAAAGCCUAGAGAUUUGUUACCUAGGACACUAGUAAUGACCUCAGAGAAUGCAGAAUGGUAGAGGUGGAAGCAAAACUCAGAGGAUUAUUGAAAAAAAUGAGAAAAGUAGAAAAGUGGAAGCAGGAAGUGCAGACAUUUCCUAUACCAAUGUAGACAUAUUUGUGUUUAUAUACAUACACAUAUUCAUGUGUAUUCCUAGUUUCAAUAAUGCACAAUGUUGAGGUUAACCUUAAAAAAAGAUUAAUUUAGCAAAAGAUAGAAAAGCAGAUCUGAAAAAAGAAUGUAUUCCUUGCCAUUAUAGACUAUGCUUAAUAAGUAAUACUUAGUUUAGUAGAUUGUAGCUUGUGACAACAUGAGAAGUGCAUCCAGUAGAUUCAUAGUAGUUCUUACUGGGGUACCUGCUUAUAUUGUUGCUAGCAAACUAUUUGGGCAUGUUAUUUUUUGUAUCUGGACUAGUUCCUUAUCUGCCAAGAACUAAAUGAUUAAGUCCCAUCUAACAUUUUAGGAUGCUCUGAUCUCCUUUUGACUUAUAGAAAUCACCAAAGUUAGACAGCUAAUGACCACUCUUUUUAAUAUUUCCUCCUUCAUGACAUGGGAAAUGAUUUUUAACGCCACUUUAGCCCAAUAAUUCAGACAUCUCACAUUGUAUAUGCACGUGUGUGUUCAUUUCAGUGCUAUUCACAACAGCAAAAACACAGAAAAAACUUAGGUGCCCCUCAGUGGUGGACUGGAUAAAGAAAAUGUGGCACCUGUACACCAUGGCAUACUAUGCAGCCAUAAAAAAGAAUGAAAUCAUGCCCUUUGCAGCAACAUGGAUGCAGCUGGAAGCCAUUAUCCUAAGUGAACUAACUCAGAAAAUCAAAUACUGCAUAUUCUCACUUUUAAGUGGGAGAUAAACAUUGGGUACUCAUGGAUAUAAAGUUAAAAACAAUAGACACUGGGUUCUAGUAGAGGGUGGAGGGUGGGAGACCAGUAACGGUCGAAAAACUACCUGUUGGGUAUUAUGCUUAUUACUUGGGUGACAGGAUCAUCUAUAUACCCCAAACCUCAGCAUCACACAAUAUACUCAUGUAAUAAACCUGCACUUGUACCCCCCCGAAUCUAAAAGUCAAAAUUAUGUUUUAAAAAAGAAAAUAUCUCAGAGUCUUGUCUUCUAGAUUUUCUUCAUUUCAACAGUUUGCCUUCUAUUCUUUUUCAGUUGCUUAGAUUUAAACUUCCUCAGAGUCUCAGUGAAAAGGACGAGUUUAUUCAGCUGGAAGAAUUGAACCUUGAAAGUAUACCCUUUAACCUUAAGUUUUAAAACACUGGGUUACAAAUAAGAAUAUAAAGUUUUAUUCAUCUCUAAACAUACUAGCAAAGCAACUGAUCUUUUAAACAGAAAAUUAUCAAUCACUAAGGACGCUACCAAAAAUAGAAAUAUUUAAACAUUGUAAUCAGACACCUCUAGUGAUUUGUGAAUAUCUGGAAGUCCUACUGAACCAUCAGCUAUUUGACAUUAUGUAGAGUUAGCUUGAGUCUAGGUGACUUGUUCCUUGGAAAGGCUUAGUUAGCACGGACCUGAAGUACUUCUAGUAUGAAUUCUAUCCUAAUGUCUUUAAGAGCAUUGGGUGGAAAAGAGAUGUACCAACACACACAAUGUUCUGCACAUGGAGUCAUUAAUGAAUAAAUUGGCUGAAGCACCUAGAAAGGUUUCAAAAUGCCCAAUAUCAUCUUACUCAAGGAAAUUUGUUUCCUCGAUGGAAAGCAUGCCAAAAACAAAAAACAAAAACAAACAAACAAAAAAACUAGUAGAACAAACAAGUGGAGAAAAUAGAAAAGCGGAGAAUAGCAGAAACCUUGAGUCCCUUUAUGUUCCUUAAAAAGUUUUUGAUUAUUUUUGUUUUAAUCCAUUCAGCAAGUAUUUAUGGAGUGCCAUCUGUAUGCUAUGAUAAGCUCUAGGGUUACAUUAAUAGAUAAAACAGCCCCCUACCCCUAUCAAAAAAAAAUCCCUACUCUCAUUAGCUUCUUUUAAAUUUAUACCAUUGUUUAAUGGGAAUGAGCCCAGUUGAAUUUUUUCAGUAACAUAUUUUAAAAUAAGCUUUAUUUUCAAAAACAAUUUUAGAUUUACAAAAAAAUUGAAAAGAUAGUUCAGAGAGUUCUCAUCCACUCCACAUAGUUUUCCCUAUUGUUAUCUUUCAUUAGGAUAUAUUUGCCACAAUUAAUGUGUCAAUAUUGAUACAUUAUUUUUAACUAACACCUAUAGUUUAUUUAUAUUUUUUAUAUUUUUCAUUUGUGUCUUUUUUCUGUUCCAGGCUACCAGCCAAUCCAGAAUACCACAUUACAUUUAGUAAUCAGGUUUCUAUCACUUCUUAGGCACUUUAUACAAGUCAUUUCAUUUAGUCCUAACGAGAACCCUGUAAG